UACGUAGGCAGCGAGCGUUGUUCGGAGUUACUGGGCGUAAAGAGUGCGUAGGCGGUUUUCUAAGUUUGGUGUGAAAUCUCCCGGCUUAACUGGGAGGGUGCGCCGAAGACUGGAAGGCUUGAGUAUGGGAGAGGUAAGCGGAAUUCCUGGUGUAGCGGUGAAAUGCGUAGAUAUCAGGAAGAACACCCGUGGCGAAGGCGGCUCUCUGGGACGGUACUGACGCUGAGACGCGAAAGCGUGGGGAGCGAACAGG
rnacentral:rRNA from 1 species